rnacentral:lncRNA from 1 species
CUUAAUGAUAGUAUAAAUAAACUCUAAGUGUUAGGGAAUCUAUCGUUUUGAUGGGAUACGCAUUGUACGAAACUAAUUUCAACGAUCCAACCGUCAAACUUGUUUGUAUAUAUUCCGAGAUCGCAUACGCCAAAAAUUGAGAAAAACAAACAUUCAGAUACCAAGUAACGGAACAAACCUUUUCGACGGUUAUAAACAAAAACGCACGAUUUAACGGUAGUUUUAACUCCGAUUUUGAUGAUUUUUUACAGCUACACUCCUUGACCCUAUAUGAAUACAAUGAACUAAUUCGAUCUUCAAUUUUAAAAUAUUUACACUAGUGGAUACCACAAAAUAUUAUGUUAUACUUGAUGAAAGUAUAAAUAAACUCUAAGUGAUAGUGAAUGUAAUGUUUUGAUGGGAAAUGUAUUGUAUGAAACUAGUUUCAACAAUCCAACCGUCAAACGUAUAUGUACAUGCUUCGAGAUUGCGUACGCCAAAAAUCGCAAAAAACAAACAUUCAGAGAUCAAGUAACGGGACAAAACUUUUAGACGGUUAUAAAUGAAAAAGCACGAUUUAACGGUAGUUUUAACUCCGAUUUUGAUGAUUUUUUAGAGCUACACUCCUUAAUCCUAUAUGAAUACAAUGAAGUAAUUUGAUCGUCAAUUUAAAACAUUUACACAAGUGGAUACCACAAAAGAAAAAGGCAUUACAAGAACCCCAAAAGAAAAGCAAAAGAAAAAAAAAACCA